rnacentral:rRNA from 1 species
CCUACGGGUGGCAGCAGUGGGGAAUAUUGCACAAUGGGGGAAACCCUGAUGCAGCGACGCCGCGUGAGUGAAGAAGUAUUUCGGUAUGUAAAGCUCUAUCAGCAGGGAAGAAAAUGACGGUACCUGACUAAGAAGCCCCGGCUAACCACGUGCCAGCAGGCGUGGCAAUGAGCAGGGGGCAAGCGUUAUCCGGAGGUACUGGGGGUAAAGGGGGCGGAGGCGGCAGCACAAGUCUGGAGUGAAAUGCCGGGGCGUAACCCCGGAACUGCUUUGGAAACCGUGCAUCUAGAGUGCAGGAGAGGUAAGUGGAAUUCCUAGUGUAGCGGUGAAAUGCGUAGAUAUUAGGAAGAACACCAGUGGCGAAGGCGGCUUACUGGACUGUAACUGACGUUGAGGCUCGAAAGCGUGGGGAGCAAACAGGAUUAGAUACCCGGGUAGUC